ensembl:lncRNA
AAACUGAGAAGGUUGUAAAAAAAAUAAAUGAAAUCUGUAAUAUAAAUCAACAGUACAGUACAAGUGAAAUCCUGACAAGCGAGUUAGGUUUUAAAGCAGCCAGAGUAUCCCUGUUUUUUUUGUUUUGUUUUUUAGAUCUUUUUUUUUUCAGAAUUUUUUUUUCAGGCUAGAUGGAUGAGGAAGGAUGGAGUGGGAGGUGAAGGAAGGUGUUCUUACAGGUGUCUAGUCUCAGGCACGUUGAUGUUGACGUCCUGGAUAGUCUCCUUUUUCUUCUCUUCUCUCUCCUAUGUCUUUGUCUCCUUGUCCUGGAGCUCGUGCCUCAUUUCGUCCAUCUCCGUCUGCCGGUCUUUUUUUUUUUUUUUUUUUUCAGAAUUUUUUUUUUCAGGGUAGAUGGAUGAGGUAGGAUGGAGUGGGAGGUGAAGGAAGGUGUUCUUACAGGUGUCUAGUCUCAGGCACGUUGAUGUUGACGUCCUGGAUAGUCUCCUUUUUCUUCUCUUCUCUCUCCUAUGUCUUUGUCUCCUUGUCCUGGAGCUUGUGCCUCAUUUCGUCCAUCUCCGUCUGCCGGUCCUUUUUUUUUAAGUACAGGCAGAUGUUUUCAAGGACUGUUUUGUUGUCCUCUAAUUCUGGGAUCCUGGUGAUACGGAUCUAAUGUUCUUUGGGGAUGGUAUCCUCUGUUUGUUGGAUCUUAGAGAUCAGGCACAAUACAGUGAACCCACUGCUUGUGACCAUCUCGUUGUGGAUAUCCUCUUGGCUCUUUUUCAAAUUCAAAGAUUUUAUUGUCAAAUAUACCCCCCUUGUGUAUUGAAAUUCUUAUGCUUGCCUUUU